rnacentral:rRNA from 16 species
ACGACUCUCGGCAACGGGGUGUGAAUUGCAGAAUCCCGUGAACCAUGGAGUCUUUGAACGCAAGUUGCGCCCGAAGCCAUUAGGCCGAGGGCACGUCUGCCUGGGCGUCACA